UACACUCCUGCGGGAAGCAGCAGUGGGGAAUAUUGGACAAUGGGCGCAAGCCUGAUCCAGCCAUGUCGCGUGAGUGAUGAAGGCCCUAGGGUUGUAAAGCUCUUUCACCGGUGAAGAUAAUGACGGUAACCGGAGAAGAAGCCCCGGCUAACUUCGUGCCAGCAGCCGCGGUAAUACGAAGGGGGCUAGCGUUGUUCGGAUUUACUGGGCGUAAAGCGCACGUAGGCGGACUAUUAAGUCAGGGGUGAAAUCCCGGGGCUCAACCCCGGAACUGCCUUUGAUACUGGUAGUCUUGAGUUCGAGAGAGGUGAGUGGAAUUCCGAGUGUAGAGGUGAAAUUCGUAGAUAUUCGGAGGAACACCAGUGGCGAAGGCGGCUCACUGGCUCGAUACUGACGCUGAGGUGCGAAAGCGUGGGGAGCAAACAGGAUUAGAAACCCGUGUAGUCCCAUGAU
rnacentral:rRNA from 1 species